CCGUUAGUGGGAAAAACGGAAGGUCUUUAGGCUCUUUUGAACCUGUAACCGUUGCUAAUACGGCUGUAUCGCCGUAGCGAAUCAAAGCCGCACCGCUCGCCUGCUUUGCCAGUUGACCAAUUUCAACUGACAAUUCACGACCAGCCCAAUCAAUUGAAAACACUUGCUUGUCCUGUGCCAUUAAUGUGAGAACUCCUCUCAUCCAAUAAAAUCAUUUCUUUUAUUAUACCCUAACCUUUUUAUAUCUAAAAAGAAAGGAAGAAAUCUAUGUAUUUUAACCUAAUAAAAAAGCGGGAAUUAUCCCGCUUUUCUG
rnacentral:antisense_RNA from 1 species